rnacentral:rRNA from 1 species
CCUACGGGUGGCAGCAGUGGGGAAUAUUGGGCAAUGGGCGCAAGCCUGACCCAGCAACGCCGCGUGAAGGAAGAAGGCUUUCGGGUUGUAAACUUCUUUUCUCAGGGACGAAGACAGUGACGGUACCUGAGUUAUCAGCCACGGCUAACUACGUGCCAGCAGCCGCCGUACUACGUAGGUGGCAAGCGUUAUCCGGAUUUAUUGGGUGUAAAGGGCGUGUAGGCGGGAGCGCAAGUCAGAUGUGAAAACUCAGGGCUCAACCCUGAGCCUGCAUUUGAAACUGUGUGUCUUGAGUGCUGGAGAGGCGAUCAGAAGUCCGGGUGUAGCGGUGAAAUGCGUAGAGAUACGGAGGAACACCAGUGGCGAAGGCGGAUUGCUGGACAGUAACUGACGCUGAGGCGCGAAAGCGUGGGGAGCAAACAGGAUUAGAUACCCGGGUAGUC